rnacentral:rRNA from 1 species
AUGCAAGUCGAACGAAGCACUUUAUUUGAUUUCUUCGGAAUGAAGAUUUUGUGACUGAGUGGCGGACGGGUGAGUAACGCGUGGGUAACCUGCCUCAUACAGGGGGAUAACAGUUGGAAACGACUGCUAAUACCGCAUAAGCGCACAGGGUCGCAUGACCUGGUGUGAAAAACUCCGGUGGUAUGAGAUGGACCCGCGUCUGAUUAGCCAGUUGGUGGGGUAACGGCCUACCAAAGCAACGAUCAGUAGCCGACCUGAGAGGGUGACCGGCCACAUUGGGACUGAGACACGGCCCAAACUCCUACGGGAGGCAGCAGUGGGGAAUAUUGCACAAUGGGGGAAACCCUGAUGCAGCGACGCCGCGUGAGCGAAGAAGUAUUUCGGUAUGUAAAGCUCUAUCAGCAGGGAAGAAGAAAUGACGGUACCUGACUAAGAAGCACCGGCUAAAUACGUGCCAGCAGCCGCGGUAAUACGUAUGGUGCAAGCGUUAUCCGGAUUUACUGGGUGUAAAGGGAGCGCAGGCGGUACGGCAAGUCUGAUGUGAAAGCCCGGGGCUCAACCCCGGUACUGCAUUGGAAACUGUCGGACUAGAGUGUC